GACGAACGCUGGCGGCGUGCUUAACACAUGCAAGUCGAACGGUAAGGCCCUUCGGGGUACACGAGUGGCGAACGGGUGAGUAACACGUGGGUGAUCUGCCCUGCACUUCGGGAUAAGCCUGGGAAACUGGGUCUAAUACCGGAUAGGACCACUGCCUGCAUGGGUGGUGGUGGAAAGCUUUUGCGGUGUGGGAUGGGCCCGCGGCCUAUCAGCUUGUUGGUGGGGUGAUGGCCUACCAAGGCGACGACGGGUAGCCGGCCUGGGGGGGUGACCGGCCACACGGGGGCUGAGAGACGGGCCAGACGCCGACGGGAGGGAGCAGUGGGGAGUAUUGCACAAGGGGCGCAGGCCUGAUGCGGCGACGCCGCGUGAGGGAGGACGGCCUUCGGGUUGUAAACCUCUUUCAGCACCGACGAAGCGCAAGUGACGGUAGGUGCAGAAGAAGGACCGGCCAACUACGUGCCAGCCGCCGCCGUAA
rnacentral:rRNA from 1 species